rnacentral:lncRNA from 1 species
UUUUAAAGCAUAGUUUAAAUAAUUUUUAUACUUUUUCAUUGUAAAUGACAUAUGCAGCAGUUUUGACCUUCAUGUAUCUUUGCUUUUCACAUUAUAUAUAUGUUCACUUUGUUCAGAUUACUAGCAGAUUUGGAAAGAGGUUUACGUUUUCAAGUUACAAAUAGUCGGAGAGAGUUAAUCUAAGUAGAAGUCAUUAUUAUUUAUAGUAUAAAUUUUAUGGUAUUUCAGUAACUUAAAAGUUCAAGAAACUUUUUUCAAAUUUCUUCAAAUUUCACAAAAAUGUUACAACUUUAAAAAACUGUUAUCAAAAGAUUUAAACCUCAAGCUUGAAAUUUAAAUAAUAUGUUAAAACCAGGUUUUCAUGUACUUUUUACUAUGAAUAAUUACUAACAAAAACAUGCUUUUUAAACAUAUUUUAAGUUCUCAACUUUUCCAAUACAUUAGGGUCUGUUCUCAGCAUGUUGCUUUUGUAUUCUCAAGUGCAUAAUAAGGUUGUUUUGUUCGUCUUUAAACAAACAUGUCUGCUUGCUGUCAGGAGGAAAGGAGCUUAUUACAAUAUAUUUUGGUGUUUGGCUAAUGCUCAUUGUUGAUUUUAAUAAAGUAUAAACAAAUUUAAUAGCUAGAUAUUUAUCUUCAUAUAAAUUGUAAUGUUAAUGUGAUGGGUUGCUGUCUCUAUUGCUAGUCCAAUACGCUUUUUUUUUUUAUUUCUGUCCAAUGAAGGCCCUUUAAUGUUCUAAAGGGGUAAAACCAUUUUCAAAUUGAAUAUAACAUUUUAAAGGGUUGUUUGUAAUGUAUCUACAUUAAAACCAAUUUUAGAGAUUUAUAUAUAAAUUAAUGAAAUCAUUAAAAUUAACAUAAUUUUUUCUAUGACUGCACCCAGACCACACGUAUAAUUUUAAAUGAAAUAAUCAUAUCCUGUGUGUAUGCUGUCAGAGUCCCUUUAAUAUUGGUCAAAGAAAAAAUAUGCUACCUCACUGCUUAAUUAACGAUUCAACAAUAAUGGUUGAACUUGCAGAAUGGACUAUAUUUUAAUAUUGAAUGAUUUGUCCUCUUCUUUUACACUGAAUUCAAGAUUGAGCUGUAUAAACAAAUCUAGGUGCACAACACAAACUUGUUUCUGUAUAUAAGCCUUAUAUGUUUUGCUUUAUAUGACCAUAUGAGAACUAGUUGGACAUGAAACAACUUAUCUAUUCAAAUUUACCAAACGAAACUUAGUUUAUCACUGUGUAUCAUCGCACAGCAUAUAUAGGUACUAACCAAGCGGGCAUGAUCGAUUUUGAACUGACACGGUAACGAAAAAUCUUUGUUUUGUUUUAUCAACAUUCAGUAAACAUUUUUCAACAUUUGAAAUUCCUGCUCCAAAAUAAUUUUCGCAUCGAUUUUUUCCUAUUUAUAAGACAACUUUUAAAUUGUAAUAAGAACAAUUAACUUGUAAAUGCGCAAAUAGUUGUGAAUGUCAACAACAAAUUUCAAUUUCGAUACAAUUGUCGAGACAUUUACAUGUUUUAACUGAAAGAAGGCUAAUACAGGGCAAAAGUAAUAGUUACCAAUCAUAAACCUACCUGUGAUUACUCAUUCCUUGAAACUUUUUGGGAAAAAAAACGAGUAUGAAAAUUUUGUUUUUGUGUAUGAUGAACAGCAACUUAACUAUGCACUGUAGAGGGGGAGGACAGGGGGUUACCCUUCUCCCUUCUCCCACCCCUCUUCUCCUUUCUGCUACCCCCGUUCUCCUUUCUCCCAUUAGAAUAAAACAUCUCCUUUUGAGAUAUUUUUUCUUGAAAUAUUAGAAAAAAUUUUAAAAGGAGAGAUAUUUUAUUUUUUCUCCUUUCUCCCAGCCUUCCUCUCCUUUCUCCUACCCCUUUCUCCUUUCUCCCACCCCUUUCUCCUUUCUCCUACCCCCUUUCUCCCUGUCUCCCUUACCCCUGUCCUCCCCCUCACUGUACAGAAGGAUUUAUGUGGUCAGCUAAACACCGUACACAACGCUUCUUUUCAGAAUAAAUAUUAAAAAAAAAAUAUAUGCAUGAAAGAUUUCAAUGUGAAUUAUUGAUACAACUAUACUUAUUACACAUGCACAAUGGCCUUCUAUCAGAAAAAGAGUUGCAAUGAAUAUAGAAUUAUAUCGGAUGAGACUAGUGCCAACUUCUUUGACAAGUAUUUGCACAUGUUUUUAGUAAUCGUUCUUGAUUUGGGAAAAUAAUGAGACAUCUCUAAUCAUGAACCUACGACCAAAUCAUUUCUUAAAACAACAAUUAUGUUUUGAUUGAGGUACACAUUGAUAUUAUGUGAACAAAACAAAAAUUUUCGUUACCGUGUGAGGUCAAAAUCGAUCACGCCAGCUUGGUUAGUACCUAUAUCCGCUGUACAAUGAUACACGGUGUUUAUAAUCAAAAAUAAAAAUACAUUGCAUUAUUAUUAUUGAAUAUUGAGUAUAAGAUAAAGGAAAAGAGAUUUAUGUGUUAGUUUUCUAUUGUUAGAUCAUGACUAUAAAGUAUGUAUGAAAAAAAAUCAGGGAGUUAGGUUGUUUUAUAUCAUUGCUUUCACAUUUUAGAAUAAAAUUAUUUUAUUACUUAUACAACAGAUUUCUUAUUAGUUUACUGAAGC